AGGGCCAUCGCUCAGUGGCAGAGUACAUGCUUUGCACACAGAAAGUUCCCAGGUUCAAUCCCUGGUGUUCCCA